GCGUCCGUAGCUCAGCUGGAUAGAGUACCUGGCUACGAACCAGGCGGUCAGAGGUUCGAAUCCUCUCGGACGCGCCA
rnacentral:tRNA from 191 species